rnacentral:rRNA from 1 species
CCUACGGGAGGCAGCAGUGAGGAAUAUUGGUCAAUGGACGCAAGUCUGAACCAGCCAUGCCGCGUGCAGGAAGACUGCCCUAUGAGUUGUAAACUUCUUUUAUACGUGGAUAAAUCCUUCUCCGUGUAGGGUGUUGAAAGUAUCAUAUGAAUAAGGAUCGGCUAACUCCGUGCCAGCAGCCGCGGUAAUACGGAGGAUUCAAGCGUUAUCCGGAUUUAUUGGGUUUAAAGGGAGCGUAGGCGGUUUGUUAAGUUCGUGGUGAAAUUCCGGGGCUCAACUGUGACAGUGCCUCUGAUACUGGCAGGCUAGAGUUUAGUUGCGGUAGGCGGAAUGUGUGGUGUAGCGGUGAAAUGCAUAGAGAUCAUACAGAACACCGAUUGCGAAGGCAGCUUACCAAACUACGACUGACGUUGAGGCACGAAAGCGUGGGGAGCAAACAGGAUUAGAUACCCUUGUAGUC